rnacentral:rRNA from 1 species
AUGAAUCACGAAGAAGGCACUGAUCCUUGGCUUUCUCAAAGGCCGGAAACGCCACCUUGGGAUGCAGCAGAGUACAAUCAACUCAUUUCUUCAGGGCCAUUGCUGCCACUACUAGAGCACUACGCGGGCAUCGGUUCUUAUGACCAAACCACAAUCAGGGGGGCAGCAUGGCAAGUUUCGUCACAGGGCGCUAACGCUGACAAAUGUACAGGCAACCAACUUCAGCUAGCUAAUGUGGCAAAUCAAGGACCUUCAUGCAGCACGUGGCAUCAUGCAGCAACCAUGUACCUGCCAUCAACGUCGUACACAGGUUGUUACGGUGAAACCACAUCGGCAAACAUCUCAUGGCAAGCUUCACAGUUGCAGGAAAACACUAUUGCAGACAGAGCACAUCAAAUUGGAAUGACAGACCACACAAGAUCGGCACAUGCGGCACAACAAGGACCUUCAACUACAAUUAACAGCGGCGCGGGGACAUCUACUGCGGGGAGCUCUGAGCGCACGGAAGACGUGUUCCACCAGCCAGCCAACACUCAUGCCACAAACAAUGCCGAGUCGGUGUUGGAAAUGGCAAUCGUGCCAGCAAUACCGACAAGCACACAUGUGCACACAAGCACACAUGUGCACACCAGCACAAGCAACACUCAAGCAGGUGAAACAGCCGCUGAUACUGAAGUGAAUGAUGAAACCAAUGACGAAGCACAAGGGGAUGAAGAUGGUGGGCAAUCAGAAAUCAUGGUACCCCAGCCACCGUAUCUUGGGCAGAGAUUUGAUUCGUUUGCAGAUGCAAAGGAAUUCUACCAGACAUAUGCAAAGUUCCAUGGGUUUGUGGUCAACACCGAAUACCAUAGGAAAAUUAAAAAAACUAACGAGUACAGCAGAGGUGAGAUGAGGUGCUACAAGGCACGAAGAAACAAGAAGGGCAAAGGUGAUGCGCCUGUCGUUCCGGAACGAAAGAGAGGUAUCAUUGUCAAGACGGAAUUCCCUGUACGGUGUAAGCUGAACGUAGAUGGAGCACAGUGGGUGGUCACUGAAUAUUUUGACGAGCACAACCACGAGCUAAUAAAGAAGUUUGACCUAGUAAAAUUUCUGACCGCCCACAGAGGAUUCACCCCCCUCGAGAAGAAAUUCAUAAAGCUGCUACAUGAUUGUAACGCCGGUCCAUCAAGAAUGGUGCAGAUACUCUCCCUCAUCCACAGCAAAAACGGGUCUCUGAGUAGCAUGCCCUACCUACUAGCAGACGUCACAAACCUAAAGGCAAAAUUCCAGGAACAAAUAAAGCAUGCCAGCAUGUGCACGGCUUUCCAGGUGGACGAACAUACGUUCAAGGUGUGUUCUAUCAUGAGCAUGUCGGAUUCAGAACCUGAAGACCCAGACAAGGGAAGGAACUACUUUGUGAAGGCAUCGAUAAGCGAAGGCGAAUACUACUGCCAAUGCUGCAAAUUCGAACAGGACGGGAUUGUGUGCUGUCACAUUCUGAAAGUAAUGGACUUGAACGCGGUGACACAAAUGCCCCGCCAUUUCAUAAGGCGGCGAUGGACUUGGGACGCUGACGACGCAUUGGCGCCGCAAACAUCAAACGCAGUUUUGGCCGUGCAUGACGAGAGACCAGAGUCAACCAUGGAAGCCGUGAGGCACAUUGUGUUGACAAAGAACUAUGCUGAACUAAUUGAUGAAGCGUGCAAGAGUGAUGAGACAGCAAGGGUUGUAGAAAAACACAGGAAGGCCCUCAAAAGAGAGCUUGAUGAGAUCAAGAAGAGGAAAGCUGAGGAAGCCUUACACAGGUUCCCCCGCACAUCAAGUGUGCCUUCUUCCACAGGGCCAUCAUCUGAAAACUCGGAGGUAGGAUCUGGAACAACAAGCACACAAACACAGGUUAGGAACCCGCCAUCACAAAAGGGCGUCCAAAAGAUAUAA